GAGCAGAUAGCCUAGUGGUAAAGGUAUCACUCCUAGUAAAGUGAAUUAUCUGAUGCUGAGGUCCCAGUUUCAAAACCUGGUCUGGUCA